rnacentral:rRNA from 1 species
GGGUCAGUAGGUUGGUCGUGCCACCGGUACGUACUGGUCUCACUGAUUCCUCCUUCCUGAAGAACCGUAAUGCCAUUAAUUUGGUGUUGCGGGGAAACAGGACUGUUACUUUGAAAAAACUAGAGUGUUUAAAGCAAGCUAACGCUUGAAUACAUUAGCAUGGAGUAAUGAAAUAGGACGAUCGAUCCUAUUUUGUUGGUUUCUAGGAUUGACGUA